rnacentral:rRNA from 1 species
AUUGAACGCUGGCGGCAGGCCUAACACAUGCAAGUCGAGCGAGCGGCGGACGGGUGAGUAAUGUGUGGGAAACUGCCUGAUGGAGGGGGAUAACAACUGGAAACGGUAGCUAAUACCGCAUACCAUCAGAUGUGCCCAGAUGGGAUUAGCUAGUAGGUUGGGUAACGGCUCACCUAGGCGACGCUCCCUAGCUGGGCUGAGAGGAUGACCAACCACACUGGAAAUGAGACACGGCCCCGACUCCUACGGGAGGCCACAGUUGGGGAUAUUGGACCAUGGGGGGCACCCUGGUCCAGCCAAUCCGCGUGGUUGAAGAAGGCCUUAUGGUUGUAAAGCUCUUUAAGCGAGGAGGCGUUACUCGCAGAAUAAGCACCGGCUAACUCUGUGCCAGCAGCCGCGGUAAUUC